UCAAGUGAAUAAGUGCAUCAGGCGGAUGCCUUGGCGAUGAUAGGCGACGAAGGACGUGUAAGCCUGCGAAAAGCGCGGGGGAGCUGGCAAUAAAGCUAUGAUUCCGCGAUGUCCGAAUGGGGAAACCCACUGCAUUCUGUGCAGUAUCCUAAGUUGAAUACAUAGGCUUAGAGAAGCGAACCCGGAGAACUGAACCAUCUAAGUACCCGGAGGAAAAGAAAUCAACCGAGAUUCCGCAAGUAGUGGCGAGCGAACGCGGAGGAGCCUGUACGUAAUAACUGUCGAGAUAGAAGAACAAGCUGGGAAGCUUGACCAUAGCGGGUGACAGUCCCGUAUUCGAAAUCUCAACAGCGGUACUAAGCGUACGAAAAGUAGGGCGGGACACGUGAAAUCCUGUCUGAAUAUGGGGGGACCAUCCUCCAAGGCUAAAUACUCAUCAUCGACCGAUAGUGAACCAGUACCGUGAGGGAAAGGCGAAAAGAACCCCGGGAGGGGAGUGAAACAGAACCUGAAACCUGAUGCAUACAAACAGUGGGAGCGCCCUAGUGGUGUGACUGCGUACCUUUUGUAUAAUGGGUCAACGACUUACAUUCAGUAGCGAGCUUAACCGGAUAGGGGAGGCGUAGGGAAACCGAGUCUUAAUAGGGCGAUGAGUUGCUGGGUGCAGACCCGAAACCGAGUGAUCUAUCCAUGGCCAGGUUGAAGGUGCCGUAACAGGUACUGGAGGACCGAACCCACGCAUGUUGCAAAAUGCGGGGAUGAGCUGUGGGUAGGGGUGAAAGGCUAAACAAACUCGGAGAUAGCUGGUUCUCCCCGAAAACUAUUUAGGUAGUGCCUCGAGCAAGACACUGAUGGGGGUAAAGCACUGUUAUGGCUAGGGGGUUAUUGCAACUUACCAACCCAUGGCAAACUCAGAAUACCAUCAAGUGGUUCCUCGGGAGACAGACAGCGGGUGCUAACGUCCGUUGUCAAGAGGGAAACAACCCAGACCGCCGGCUAAGGUCCCAAAUGAUAGAUUAAGUGGUAAACGAAGUGGGAAGGCACAGACAGCCAGGAUGUUGGCUUAGAAGCAGCCAUCAUUUAAAGAAAGCGUAAUAGCUCACUGGUCGAGUCGUCCUGCGCGGAAGAUGUAACGGGGCUCAAAUCUAUAACCGAAGCUGCGGAUGCCGGUUUACCGGCAUGGUAGGGGAGCGUUCUGUAGGCUGAUGAAGGUGCAUUGUAAAGUGUGCUGGAGGUAUCAGAAGUGCGAAUGUUGACAUGAGUAGCGAUAAAGCGGGUGAAAAGCCCGCUCGCCGAAAGCCCAAGGUUUCCUACGCAACGUUCAUCGGCGUAGGGUAAGUCGGCCCCUAAGGCGAGGCAGAAAUGCGUAGUCGAUGGGAAACAGGUUAAUAUUCCUGUACUUGAUUCAAAUGCGAUGUGGGGACGGAGAAGGUUAGGUUGGCAAGCUGUUGGAAUAGCUUGUUUAAGCCGGUAGGUGGAAGACUUAGGCAAAUCCGGGUUUUCUUAACACCGAGAAGUGAUGACGAGUGUCUACGGACACGAAGCAACCGAUACCACGCUUCCAGGAAAAGCCACUAAGCUUCAGUUUGAAUCGAACCGUACCGCAAACCGACACAGGUGGGCAGGAUGAGAAUUCUAAGGCGCUUGAGAGAACUCGGGAGAAGGAACUCGGCAAAUUGAUACCGUAACUUCGGGAGAAGGUAUGCCCUCUAAGGUUAAGGACUUGCUCCGUAAGCCCCGGAGGGUCGCAGAGAAUAGGUGGCUGCGACUGUUUAUUAAAAACACAGCACUCUGCCAACACGAAAGUGGACGUAUAGGGUGUGACGCCUGCCCGGUGCCGGAAGGUUAAUUGAAGAUGUGCAAGCAUCGGAUCGAAGCCCCGGUAAACGGCGGCCGUAACUAUAACGGUCCUAAGGUAGCGAAAUUCCUUGUCGGGUAAGUUCCGACCCGCACGAAUGGCGUAACGAUGGCCACACUGUCUCCUCCCGAGACUCAGCGAAGUUGAAGUGGUUGUGAAGAUGCAAUCUACCCGCUGCUAGACGGAAAGACCCCGUGAACCUUUACUGUAGCUUUGCAUUGGACUUUGAAGUCACUUGUGUAGGAUAGGUGGGAGGCUUGGAAGCAGAGACGCCAGUCUCUGUGGAGUCGUCCUUGAAAUACCACCCUGGUGUCUUUGAGGUUCUAACCCAGACCCGUCAUCCGGGUCGGGGACCGUGCAUGGUAGGCAGUUUGACUGGGGCGGUCUCCUCCCAAAGCGUAACGGAGGAGUUCGAAGGUUACCUAGGUCCGGUCGGAAAUCGGACUGAUAGUGCAAUGGCAAAAGGUAGCUUAACUGCGAGACCGACAAGUCGGGCAGGUGCGAAAGCAGGACAUAGUGAUCCGGUGGUUCUGUAUGGAAGGGCCAUCGCUCAACGGAUAAAAGGUACUCCGGGGAUAACAGGCUGAUUCCGCCCAAGAGUUCAUAUCGACGGCGGAGUUUGGCACCUCGAUGUCGGCUCAUCACAUCCUGGGGCUGUAGUCGGUCCCAAGGGUAUGGCUGUUCGCCAUUUAAAGUGGUACGUGAGCUGGGUUUAAAACGUCGUGAGACAGUUUGGUCCCUAUCUGCAGUGGGCGUUGGAAGUUUGACGGGGGCUGCUCCUAGUACGAGAGGACCGGAGUGGACGAACCUCUGGUGUACCGGUUGUAACGCCAGUUGCAUAGCCGGGUAGCUAAGUUCGGAAGAGAUAAGCGCUGAAAGCAUCUAAGCGCGAAACUCGCCUGAAGAUGAGACUUCCCUUGCGGUUUAACCGCACUAAAGGGUCGUUCGAGACCAGGACGUUGAUAGGUGGGGUGUGGAAGCGCGGUAACGCGUGAAGCUAACCCAUACUAAUUGCCCGUGAGGCUUGACU
rnacentral:rRNA from 1 species